AUGGUGGUCAGGUCAGAGUCAGGGAGCAACCAUAUGGUGGUCAGGUCAGAGUCAGGGAUCAGCCAUAUGGUGGUCAGGUCAGAGCCAGAGCCAGGGAGCAGCCAAAUGGUGGUCAGGUCAGAGCCAGGGAGCAGCCAUAUGGAGGUCAGAUCAGAGUCAGGGAGCAGCCAUAUGGUGGUCAGGUCAGAGCAAGGGAGCAGCCAUAUGGUGGUCAGGUCAGAGCCAGGGAGCAGCCAUAUGGUGGUCAGAUCAGAGUCAGGGAACAGCCAUAUGGUGGUCAGGUCAGAGUCAGGGAGCAGCCAUAUGGUGGUCAGGUCAGAGCCAGAGCCAGGGAGCAGCCAAAUGGUGGUCAGGUCAGAGCCAAGGAGCAGCCAUAUGGAGGUCAGAUCAGAGUCAGGGAGCAGCCAUAUGGUGGUCUGGUCAGAGUCAGGGAGCAGCCAUAUGGUGGUCUGGUCAGAGUCAGGGAGCAGCCAUAUGGUGGUCAGGUCAGAGUCAGGGAGCAGCCGUUUGGUGGUCAGAUCAGAGUCAGGGAGCAGCCAUUUGGUAGUCAGGUCAGAGCAAGGGAGCAGCCAUAUGGUGGUCAGGUCAGAGCCAGUAAGCAGCCAUAUGGUGGUCAGAUCAGCAUCAGGGAGCAGCCAUAUGGUGGUCAGGUCAGAGCAAGGGAGCAGCCAUAUGGUGGUCAGGUCAGAACCAGGGAGCAGCCAUAUGGUGGUCAGGUCAGAGCAGGAGCCAGGGAGCAGCCAUAUAGUGGUCAGGUCAGAGUCAGGGAGCAGCCAUAUGGUGGUCAGGUCAGAGCCAGGUAGCAGCCACAUGGUGGUCAGGUCAGAGCCAGAGACAGGGAGCAGCCAUAUGGUGGUCAGGUCAGAGCCAGUGAGGAGCCAUAUGGUGGUCAAAUCAGAGUCAGGGAGCAGCCAAAUGGUGGUCAGGUCAGAGCCAGAGCCAGGGAGCAGCCAUAUGGUGGUCAGGUCAGAGCCAGGGAGGAACCAUAUGGUGGUCAGAUCAGAGUCAGGGAGCAGCCAUAUGGUGGUCAGGUCAGAGCCAGAGCCAGGGAGCAGCCAUAUGGUGGUCAGGUCAGAGCAAGGGAGCAGCCAUAUGGUGGUCAGGUCAGAGCCAGGGAGCAGCCAUAUGGUGGUCAGGUCAGAACCAGGGAGCAGCCAUAUGGUGGUCAGGUCAGAGCAGGAGCCAGGGAGCAGCCAUAUGGUGGUCAGGUCAGAGUCAGGGAGCAGCCAUAUGGUGGUCAGGUCAGAGUCAGGUACCAGCCAUAUGGUCGUCUGGUCAGAGCCAGGGAGCAGCCAUAUGGUGGUCAGGUCAGAGCAAGGGAGCAGCCAUAUGGUGGUCAAGUCAGAGUCAGGGAGCAGCCAUAUGGUGGUCUGGUCAGAGCCAGGGAGCAGCCAUAGGGUGGUAUGGUCAGAGUCAGGGAGCAGCCAUAUGAUGGUCAGUUCAGAGUCAGGGAGCAGCCAUAUGGUGGUCAGGUCAGAGGCAGAGCCAGGGAGCAGCCAAAUGGUGGUCAGGUCAGAGCCAGGGAGCAGCCAUAUGGUGGUUAGAUUAGAGUCAGGGAGCAGCCAUAUGGUGGUCAGGUCAGAGUCAGGGAGCAGCCAUAUGGUGGUCAGGUCAGAGCCAGAGCCAGGGAGCAGCCAAAUGGUGGUCAGGUCAGAGCCAAGGAGCAGCCAUAUGGAGGUCAGACCAGAGUCAGGGAGCAGCCAUAUGGUGGUCUGGUCAGAGUCAGGGAGCAGCCAUAUGGUGGUCUGGUCAGAGUCAGGGAGCAGCCAUAUGGUGGUCAGGUCAGAGUCAGGGAGCAGCCGUUUGGUGGUCAGAUCAGAGUCAGGGAGCAGCCAUUUGGUGGUCAGGUCAGAGCAAGGGAGCAGCCAUAUGGAGGUCAGGUCAGAGCCAGUAAGCAGCCAUAUGGUGGUCAGAUCAGCAUCAGGGAGCAGCCAUAUGGUGGUCAGGUCAGAGCAAGGGAGCAGCCAUAUGGUGGUCAGGUCAGAACCAGGGAGCAGCCAUAUGGUGGUCAGGUCAGAGCAGGAGCCAGGGAGCAGCCAUAUGGUGGUCAGGUCAGAGUCAGGGAGCAGCCAUAUGGUGGUCAGGUCAGAGCCAGGGAGCAGCCACAUGGUGGUCAGGUCAGAGCCAGAGCCAGGGAGCAGCCAUAUGGUGGUCAGGUCAGAGCCAGUGAGGAGCCAUAUGGUGGUCAGAUCAGAGUCAGGGAGCAGCCAAAUGGUGGUCAGGUCAGAGCCAGAGCCAGGGAGCAGCCAUAUGGUGGUCAGGUCAGAGCCAGGGAGGAGCCAUAUGGUGGUCAGAUAA
ensembl:lncRNA